rnacentral:rRNA from 1 species
GAUGAACGCUGGCGGCGUGCUUAACACAUGCAAGUCGAACGGAAAGGCCCAAGCUUGCUUGGGUACUCGAGUGGCGAACGGGUGAGUAACACGUGGGUGACCUGCCCUGCACUUCGGGAUAAGCCUGGGAAACUGGGUCUAAUACCGGAUAGGACCACAUUCUGGAUGGUGGGGGGGAGAGAUUUUCGGUGUGGGGGGAGCUAGCGGCCUUUCAGCUUGUUGGUGGGGUGAUGGCCUACCAAGGCGUCGGCGGGUAGCCGGCCUGCGAGGGUGGACGGCCCCAAUGGGACUGAGGUAAGGCCCAGGCUCCUACGGGAGGCAGGCGUGGGGAAUAUUGCACAAUGGGGGCAAGCCUGAUGCAGCGACGCCGCGUGGGGGAUGACGGCCUUCGGGUUGUAAACUCGUUUCGCUAGGUAAGAAGCGGUAUGUGACGGUAAUGGGUGAAGAAGCACCGGCUAACUACGUG